CUAGCUAGAAGGUAAGUUUAGUCAAUUUUUCGUGAUUAUUGAUAUGUACAACUACUGCCUUAGGAAGAAAUCCUCUUUAAUUUUGUUUGAUAAUGUACAAUAUCAUAGAUGUAGUUCACAAUGGGAAAGAUGUUAAUAUAGUAUCUUGUUCGUGUAUUUUUUAAUUAAUUUGUUUAAUGAGAAUCAAACAUUAGGUCCUAAACUGUGCAGUGUGACGUUGAAUGCUGAAGUUACAAAUACUGAAUUAAUUUCCAAAGACUAAAGGAUAACUGAUUUUAGAAGUGAAAAACUAGUAUCCUGCAAGAUAUUUCAAACGAGAUAACCGUCCAGUUUUGCUCUUACACGCAUUUCAACUCUGGAUUUUCUUUGCA